UGGGGAAUAUUGGACAAUGGGCGAAAGCCUGAUCCAGCCAUGCCGCGUGUGUGAAGAAGGUCUUCGGAUUGUAAAGCACUUUAAGUUGGGAGGAAGGGCAGUAAGCGAAUACCUUGCUGUUUUGACGUUACCGACAGAAUAAGCACCGGCUAACUCUGUGCCAGCAGCCGCGGUAAUACAGAGGGUGCAAGCGUUAAUCGGAAUUACUGGGCGUAAAGCGCGCGUAGGUGGUUCGUUAAGUUGAAUGUGAAAGCCCCGGGCUCAACCUGGGAACUGCAUCCAAAACUGGCGAGCUUGAGUAGGGCAGAGGGUGGUGGAAUUUCCUGUGUAGCGGUGAAAUGCGUAGAUAUAGGAAGGAACACCAGUGGCGAAGGCGACCACCUGGUCUCAUACUGACACUGAGGUGCGAAAGCGUGGGGAGCAAACAGG
rnacentral:rRNA from 1 species